rnacentral:lncRNA from 1 species
AACCACUCUAGGCCAUGGUUUCAUAAUGCAUCGGCUAUGGAAUGGCUUUCUUUCAGACUAAAUUUGUUGUCAAAUUUCGUAUUUGCUUUCUCGUUGGUUUUACUGGUGACUCUUCCUGAAGGAAUUAUCAAUCCAAGUAAGUAUCAAAUUAAUUAAGCCAUGAGAUUAUGUCAAACAAACUAUUCAAGUAGACAACACCAUGCAUACAUACAUCUCAUCAGUUCCUAAAACAAAAACAAACGUAACUUAUGCAGCCAUAGACAAACCAUAUGGUACUCAAACAUCAAUAGUACAACAGAUUAAUCACUUUAAAUAAAAAUGUUUUCUCCCAACCCAACAUCAGAAAGGUCCAACCUCUUUCUUGUUGCCCUCAUCCAGUGGAAACUGAAACCAACCUAUGUUUGCAGAACUAUGGAUUUUGGUUUUAUUUUUGGCAUGUUAAUGUAACAGGCAUCGCAGGAUUGGGCGUAACUUAUGGUAUAAACUUGAAUGUUUUGCAAGCUUCAGUUAUAUGGAAUAUGUGCAAUGCGGAGAAUAAAAUGAUCUCAGUAGAAAGAAUUCUUCAGUACUCAAGCAUACCAAGUGAGGCACCCCUUGUAAUUGAAGAGUGCAUACUGCCAAACAACUGGCCAGAUGUUGGAACAGUUAGCUUUAGAAACUUGCAGGUAAGACUUUGUAGCAUGUCUAAUACACAGACACACAUGCACAAGCAGAAAAGAGUGGCCAAAUAUUGGGAAAACUAGCAAGUGCAGGUAACACACACACACACACACCCCCCCGCCCAUACACUUGCGUACACGUGCGCACACACACAAAAGGUGCUGGAACAUAACUUUAGAAACUAGCAAGUAAAAGGACUCUCUUACAUGGUCAACCAACACACAGAGAAAUAAUAAAAAAUACGUCUUAAUGAUGAUCCCCAUACAUUUUUUAUCGUGCAGAUCCGUUAUGCGGAGUAUCUUCCAGCUGUCUUGAAAAACAUUAGCUGUACGUUUCCAGGAAGGAAAAAAGUUGGUGUAGUUGGAAGAACAGGGAGUGGAAAAUCA